rnacentral:rRNA from 14 species
ACCUGGUUGAUCCUGCCAGUAGUCAUAUGCUUGUCUCAAAGAUUAAGCCAUGCAUGUCUAAGUAUAAGCAAUUAUACCGUGAAACUGCGAAUGGCUCAUUA